GCCUGGCGGGGGAGGAGAGAAGGAACAGAGGCGCUCCAGCCUCCAGCAUGUCUCUUCUCCCCGACUGCGGACCUCAGCCCCCAACGCGCCGGCCCGGGGUCCAAGAUCUGAGAGCGCACGCGAGCUAGCCCGGGUCGCGGGGACUGUGGAGCCGGGACCCGGCAGCCGAGCCGGGAUGGCGGGGACAGAGUCUUCGAAUCGUGGGCGGCGGAGUGACGUGGGGAGUGGGAGUUGAAUCACCCGGAGUAAGCUCCCCAAGAAGGAAAAUCCAAAUCACUUCCCACUACCCCAUAGGAAGCCCUCCCUGACCAGCCUCCCCAGACUGGGACUUGAUCAGGCCCUGAUAUCCUGGCUCCUGGUUACCUCCUGUUUCACUGUCCUGACUGUCCUGAUCUUCGCAUUGUGUUCAGGUAGAGCUUGUACCUCCUGCAAACUGGAACUCAGUGACUAUGUGGGAAAUGAAUGAAUGACAAUUUCUGGGGAAGUGAUGUCACAUCUAUCAUUAAACACAUCAGGGUCCAUCAA